ensembl:lncRNA
CAAGUGUGUACUGAAACUAAAAAAUAGAAAUCAUCCCAGUGCCUUGACAGCUGCCUUUUACUGGAGAGCCUUUUACCUUGCUUCCUGCCAGAGUUUUGCUGUGUCACUUCAAGUUUCCUGCAGACGGCUGAGCAGGGUUGCUCCGUGUGGUCAGUGUCGCAGGGUGAGAAGAAGGGCUCCAGAGAGGUGGAAAACCCAGGGGGAAAAUGAGAAGCAGGAAACCAGUAGGAUUGGAUUGACAGGUGAACAAAAACUCAGUGACUCUCCUCCUGUUGCCCCUGCAUCCUGUUUUGAGAGAGCCAUCCAUUUGAGCAUCAUUCCAGGAUAUGACACAGUAGAGCUACUUAGGACAUCUCAAAAAGCCUUUUGGAGAACUGAAGCCUCCUUUACACUUCUCAGCAUGGUCCCAGCACUGUAGGAACUCUGCUCUUCAGGUGAACGGGAUCCAUUACUCUUCCUGGUUUAUGU